AUUGAACGCUGGCGGCAGGCUUAACACAUGCAAGUCGAGCGGGGUGAUGGUGCUUGCACUAUCACUUAGCGGCGGACGGGUGAGUAAUGCUUAGGAAUCUGCCUAUUAGUGGGGGACAACAUCUCGAAAGGGAUGCUAAUACCGCAUACGUCCUACGGGAGAAAGCAGGGGAUCACUUGUGACCUUGCGCUAAUAGAUGAGCCUAAGUCGGAUUAGCUAGUUGGUGGGGUAAAGGCCUACCAAGGCGACGAUCUGUAGCGGGUCUGAGAGGAUGAUCCGCCACACUGGGACUGAGACACGGCCCAGACUCCUGCGGGAGGCAGCGGUGGGGAAUAUUGGACAAUGGGGGGAACCCUGAUCCAGCCAUGCCGCGUGUGUGAAGAAGGCCUUAUGGUUGUAAAGCACUUUAAGCGAGGAGGAGGCUCUUUUGGUUAAUACCCAAGAUGAGUGGACGUUACUCGCAGAAUAAGCACCGGCUAACUCUGUGCCAGCCGCCGCGGUAA
rnacentral:rRNA from 1 species